CUGAAACCUAUAAAACCCAAAAUCCAUUUCAGUCCAUAAAUAAAAUCUAAAAUCUAUUUCAUUCCAUUAAUAAAACAAAAAUCCACAACAAAACCCAACCCAAUCUAGUCUAUAAAUAAAAUCGAGCUUAUGAAACCAUCAAAGUCCACGAGCAUAAGGCCCAAGGAUACCAAAAUCAUAUCAUCCAAAUGCCCCCAACUCAAACUAAAUUUGCCUAAAUCAAUAUAUACUAGUGUAGAAACCCGCGCGUUGCGGCGGGUAAAAAGCAUUGCAAAUAGUCAAGAUAUUUUCAUACCUAAAAUUAAGGUAGCUGAAGAGAAGUAGGAGAAAAUAGAAAUAGCAACAAAACAAUUUUCUAAAAUUU
rnacentral:lncRNA from 1 species